rnacentral:rRNA from 1 species
CUGUCCUGUGUUGCCAGCGCGUAAUGGCGGGGACUCGCAGGAGACUGCCGGGUCAACUCGGAGGAAGGUGGGGACGACGUCAAGUCAUCAUGCCCCUUAUGUCCAGGGCUUCACACAUGCUACAAUGGCCGGUACAGAGGGCUGCGAUACCGUGAGGUAGCGGAAUCCCUUAAAGCCGGUCUCAGUUCGGAUCGGGGUCUGCAACUCGACCCCGUGAAGUCGGAGAUGCUAGUAAUCGCAGAUCAGCAACGCUGCGGUGAAUACGUUCCCGGGCCUUGUACACACCGCCCGUCACGUCAUGAAAGUCGGUAACACCCGAAGCCGGUGGCCUAACCCUUGUGGAGGGAGCCGUCGAAGGUGGGAUCGGCGAUUGGGACGAAGUCGUAACAAGGUAGCCGUACCGGAAGGUGCGGCUGGAUCACCUCCUUUCUAA